rnacentral:rRNA from 1 species
CAAUUUAAACAACGAAGAGUUUGAUCCUGGCUCAGGAUGAACGCUAGCGACAGGCUUAACACAUGCAAGUCGAGGGGCAGCGGGGGUAGCAAUACCCGCCGGCGACCGGCGCACGGGUGAGUAACGCGUAUGCAACUUACCUAUCAGAGGGGGAUAACCCGGCGAAAGUCGGACUAAUACCGCAUGAAGCAGGGGCCCCGCAUGGGGAUAUUUGCUAAAGAUUCAUCGCUGAUAGAUAGGCAUGCGUUCCAUUAGGCAGUUGGCGGGGUAACGGCCCACCAAACCGACGAUGGAUAGGGGUUCUGAGAGGAAGGUCCCCCACAUUGGUACUGAGACACGGACCAAACUCCUACGGGAGGCAGCAGUGAGGAAUAUUGGUCAAUGGCCGAGAGGCUGAACCAGCCAAGUCGCGUGAGGGAUGAAGGUUCUAUGGAUCGUAAACCUCUUUUAUAAGGGAAUAAAGUGCGGGACGUGUCCCGUUUUGUAUGUACCUUAUGAAUAAGGAUCGGCUAACUCCGUGCCAGCAGCCGCGGUAAUACGGAGGAUUCGAGCGUUAUCCGGAUUUAUUGGGUUUAAAGGGUGCGUAGGCGGCCUUUUAAGUCAGCGGUGAAAGUCUGUGGCUCAACCAUAGAAUUGCCGUUGAAACUGGGGGGCUUGAGUAUGUUUGAGGCAGGCGGAAUGCGUGGUGUAGCGGUGAAAUGCAUAGAUAUCACGCAGAACCCCGAUUGCGAAGGCAGCCUGCCAAGCCAUUACUGACGCUGAUGCACGAAAGCGUGGGGAUCAAACAGGAUUAGAUACCCUGGUAGUCCACGCAGUAAACGAUGAUCACUAGCUGUUUGCGAUACACUGUAAGCGGCACAGCGAAAGCGUUAAGUGAUCCACCUGGGGAGUACGCCGGCAACGGUGAAACUCAAAGGAAUUGACGGGGGCCCGCACAAGCGGAGGAACAUGUGGUUUAAUUCGAUGAUACGCGAGGAACCUUACCCGGGUUUGAACGCAUUCGGACCGAGGUGGAAACACCUUUUCUAGCAAUAGCCGUUUGCGAGGUGCUGCAUGGUUGUCGUCAGCUCGUGCCGUGAGGUGUCGGCUUAAGUGCCAUAACGAGCGCAACCCUUGCCACUAGUUACUAACAGGUGAUGCUGAGGACUCUGGUGGGACUGCCAGCGUAAGCUGCGAGGAAGGCGGGGAUGACGUCAAAUCAGCACGGCCCUUACAUCCGGGGCGACACACGUGUUACAAUGGCGUGGACAAAGGGAGGCCACCUGGCGACAGGGAGCGAAUCCCCAAACCACGUCUCAGUUCGGAUCGGAGUCUGCAACCCGACUCCGUGAAGCUGGAUUCGCUAGUAAUCGCGCAUCAGCCAUGGCGCGGUGAAUACGUUCCCGGGCCUUGUACACACCGCCCGUCAAGCCAUGGGAGCCGGGGGUACCUGAAGUCCGUAACCGAAAGGAUCGGCCUAGGGUAAAACUGGUGACUGGGGCUAAGUCGUAACAAGGUAGCCGUACCGGAAGGUGCGGCUGGAACACCUCCUUUCUGGA